rnacentral:rRNA from 1 species
CCUACGGGUGGCUGCAGUGAGGAAUAUUGGUCAAUGGCCGGAAGGCUGAACCAGCCAAGCCGCGUGAAGGACGAAGGUGCCAAGCAUUGUAAACUUCUUUUGUCAAGGGACAAAAUCAGGCGCGAGAGCCUGACCGAGGGUACUUGAAGAAAAAGCAUCGGCUAACUCCGUGCCAGCAGCCGCGGUAAUACGGAGGAUGCGAGCUUUAUCCGGAUUUAUUGGGUUCAAAGGGUGCGUAGGCGGGCUGUUAAGUCAGCGGGAAAAGCCCGGGGCUCACCCCCGGCGAGCCGUUGAAACUGGCUGUCUUGAGUUGUCGCGAGGUAUGCGGAAUGCGCAUUGUAGCGGUGAAAUGCUUAGUUAUUGCGCAGAACUCCGAUUGCGCUGGCAGCAUCCCGGCGUCGAUCUGCCGCUGAGGCACGAAAGCGUGGGUCUCGAACAGGAUUAGAUACCCCUGUAGUC